GAUGAACGCUAGCUACAGGCUUAACACAUGCAAGUCGAGGGGAAACGACAUCGCAAGCUUGCUUUUGAUGGGCGUCGACCGGCGCACGGGUGAGUAACGCGUAUCCAACCUGCCCAUCACUUGGGAAUAACCUUGCGAAAGUAAGACUAAUACCCAAUGACAUCCCACGAAGACAUCUGAAUGGGAUUAAAGAUUUAUCGGUGAUGGAUGGGGAUGCGUCUGAUUAGCUUGUUGGCGGGGUAACGGCCCACCAAGGCAACGAUCAGUAGGGGUUCUGAGAGGAAGGUCCCCCACAUUGGAACUGAGACACGGUCCAAACUCCUACGGGAGGCAGCAGUGAGGAAUAUUGAUCAAUGGGCGAGAGCCUGAACCAGCCAAGUAGCGUGCAGGAUGACGGCCCUAUGGGUUGUAAACUGCUUUUAUAAGGGAAUAAAGUGGGUCUCGUGAGACUUUUUGCAUGUACCUUAUGAAUAAGGACCGGCUAAUUCCGUG
rnacentral:rRNA from 1 species